rnacentral:rRNA from 1 species
UCGAUCGGAAACGAGUUAUCUGAACCUUCGGGGAACGAUAACGGCGUCGAGCGGCGGACGGGUGAGUAAUGCCUAGGAAAUUGCCCUGAUGUGGGGGAUAACCAUUGGAAACGAUGGCUAAUACCGCAUAAUACCUACGGGUCAAAGAGGGGGACCUUCGGGCCUCUCGCGUCAGGAUAUGCCUAGGUGGGAUUAGCUAGUUGGUGAGGUAAUGGCUCACCAAGGCGACGAUCCCUAGCUGGUCUGAGAGGAUGAUCAGCCUUACUGGAACUGAGACACGGUCCAGACUCCUACGGGAGGCACCAGUGGCGAAUAUGGCACAAUGGGCGCAACCCUCAUGCAUCCAUGUCGCGUGUGUGAAGAAGGCCGCCCGCUCGUACACCAC